rnacentral:rRNA from 1 species
AGCGAACGCUGGCGGCAGGCUUAACACAUGCAAGUCGAGCGGGCCCUUUCGGGUGUCAGCGGCGCACGGGUGAGUAACGCGUGGGAACGUGCCCUCUGGUUCGGAAUAACUCAGGGAAACUUUAGCUAAUACCGGAUACGCCCUUUUGGGGAAAGGCUUGCUGCCGGAGGAUCGCCCCGCGUCUGAUUAGCUAGUUGGUGAGGUAACGGCUCACCAAGGCGACGAUCACUAGCUGGUCUGAGAGGAUGUUCAGCCACACUGGGACGGAGACACGGCCCAGACUCCUACGGGAGGCAGCAGUGGGGAAUAUUGGACAAUGGGCGCAAGCCUGAUCCAGUCAUGCCGCGUGAGUGAUCAAGGCCUUAGGGUUGUAAAGCUCUUUUAUCCGGGACGAUAAUGACGGUACCGGAGGAAUAAGCCCCGGCUAACUUCGUG